rnacentral:rRNA from 1 species
UAGGGAAUCUUCCACAAUGGGCGAAAGCCUGAUGGAGCAACGCCGCGUGUGUGAUGAAGGGUUUCGGCUCGUAAAACACUGUUGUAAGAGAAGAAUGACAUUGAGAGUAAUGUUCAAUGUGUGACGGUAUCUUACCAGAAAGGAACGGCUAAAUACGUGCCAG